rnacentral:rRNA from 1 species
GACGAACGCUGGCGGCGUGCUUAACACAUGCAAGUCGAACGAUGAAGCCCAGCUUGCUGGGUGGAUUAGUGGCGAACGGGUGAGUAACACGUGAGUAACCUGCCCUUGACUCUGGGAUAAGCCUGGGAAACUGGGUCUAAUACUGGAUAUGACUUCUCAUCGCAUGGUGGGGGGUGGAAAGAUUUAUUGGUCUUGGAUGGACUCGCGGCCUAUCAGCUUGUUGGUGAGGUAAUGGCUCACCAAGGCGACGACGGGUAGCCGGCCUGAGAGGGUGACCGGCCACACUGGGACUGAGACACGGCCCAGACUCCUACGGGAGGCAGCAGUGGGGAAUAUUGCACAAUGGGCGCAAGCCUGAUGCAGCGACGCCGCGUGAGGGAUGACGGCCUUCGGGUUGUAAACCUCUUUCAGUAGGGAAGAAGCGAGAGUGACGGUACCUGCAGAAGAAGCGCCGGCUAACUACGUG